CCCCUCCCCUGGCUCACAGCCGGCCAUCUCUUCCCCACUCCCCAGCACAGUGUGAGAGGCCAAGUUUCUGGCUUCCCUUCUGCAGAGGGCAGUGAGUGGUGGCCUCUCUCCUCUCCUCAGGUGGCCUUGCGCCUCCAUCCCGGCCUCCAUAUCCCCCUCUGGCCUCCUACCUUCCCUGAUGGGGCUCCCUCACCGCCUCCCGGGCUCUGUCCCUGCCUUCCUUUCUCUCCCCUCCGUCUCUCUGUCACUCUCUCCCCAUCCCGGCCACCAGAAGGUGCUGACAGCUGCUCCUCUGGAGGCGUGAAGACAGAGCUGGCAGCCGAGACGCUGUGGAGGUGCCCAGCCAGGAGCCAGGAGCCCAGGCGGGGCUGCUCGGCACUGGGGACGGGGAUGGCAUGUCCUUGAAGGGAGAGGAGCCCUGCAGAGCAGCGGAAGAAGAGAGGCAGAGCUGCCAGGAGGAGCUGCGUGGCCAGGGACCGUUUGUCCUCAGAGGGGACCGAGGUCUCUGGGGAGUCGAGAGCAGUGGAUGUCACCGUCGAUGGUCCGUCAGGACAGGUUUGCUUGGAGCUCUCGGCACUUGGAACCCCGAGUUUUAAGGACGUCAGAGGAGAAGUGGCAACAGCUGUCAGGCAGAUGUGGUGGCCCACGUCUACGGGGACUCGGGCACCUGACUAACGCUGUCAAUGCUUCGGGUUUCUUCUCAGAAAAAUGGCAAAAUAAAAGCCUCUCCAACCUCCUGCA